UAGGGAAUAUUAGAAAUGGACGAAAGUCUGAUCUAGCAACACCGCGUGUGCGAAGAAGGCCUUCGGGUUGUAAAGCACUUUUUGGAAGGAUUAGGAAGGAAUGUACUUCCAGAAUAAGCCUCGGCUAACUACGUGCCAGCAGCCGCGGUAAAACGUAGGAGGCGAGCGUUAUCCGGAUUUACUGGGCGUAAAGCGUGUGUAGGCGGUUUGAUAAGUUGGAUGUGAAAGCCCCUGGCUUAACUGGGAGAGGUCGUUCAAAACUAUCAGACUUGAGAGUGGUAGAGGGAGGUGGAAUUCCGCAUGUAGUGGUGAAAUGCGUAGAUAUGCGGAGGAACACCAGUGGCGAAAGCGGCCUCCCGGACCAUUCCUGACACUCAGACGCGAAAGCUAGGGUAGCAAACG
rnacentral:rRNA from 1 species